GUUCACGCUCUGAAGAGCCGCAGUGAAUAGGCCCAAGCGACUGUUUAUCAAAAACACAGGUCUCUGCUAAACCGUAAGGUGAUGUAUAGGGGCUGACGCCUGCCCGGUGCUGGAAGGUUAAGAGGAGUGGUUAGCUUCUGCGAAGCUACGAAUCGAAGCCCCAGUAAACGGCGGCCGUAACUAUAACGGUCCUAAGGUAGCGAAAUUCCUUGUCGGGUAAGUUCCGACCCGCACGAAAGGCGUAACGAUUUGGGCACUGUCUCAACGAGAGACUCGGUGAAAUCAUAGUACCUGUGAAGAUGCAGGUUACCCGCGACAGGACGGAAAGACCCCGUGGAGCUUUACUGUAGCCUGAUAUUGAAAUUCGGCACAGCUUGUACAGGAUAGGUAGGAGCCUUAGAAGCGUGAGCGCCAGCUUACGUGGAGGCGCUGGUGGGAUACUACCCUAGCUGUGUUGGAUUUCUAACCCGCGCCAUUGAUCAUGGCGGGAGACAGUGUCAGGCGGGCAGUUUGACUGGGGCGGUCGCCUCCUAAAGUGUAACGGAGGCGCUCAAAGGUUCCCUCAGAAUGGUUGGAAAUCAUUCAUAGAGUGUAAAGGCAUAAGGGAGCUUGACUGCGAGACCUACAAGUCGAGCAGGGUCGAAAGACGGACUUAGUGAUCCGGUGGUUCCGCAUGGAAGGGCCAUCGCUCAACGGAUAAAAGCUACCCCGGGGAUAACAGGCUUAUCUCCCCCAAGAGUUCACAUCGACGGGGAGGUUUGGCACCUCGAUGUCGGCUCAUCGCAUCCUGGGGCUGUAGUCGGUCCCAAGGGUUGGGCUGUUCGCCCAUUAAAGCGGUACGCGAGCUGGGUUCAGAACGUCGUGAGACAGUUCGGUCCCUAUCCGUCGUGGGCGUAGGAAAUUUGAGAGGAGCUGUCCUUAGUACGAGAGGACCGGGAUGGACAUACCUCUGGUGUACCAGUUGUCGUGCCAACGGCAUAGCUGGGUAGCUAUGUAUGGACGGGAUAAGUGCUGAAAGCAUCUAAGCAUGAAGCCCCCCUCAAGAUGAGAUUUCCCAACUUCGGUUAUAAGAUCCCUCAAAGAUGAUGAGGUUAAUAGGUUCGGGGUGGAAGCAUAGCGAUAUGUGGAGCUGACGAAUACUAAUCGAUCGAAGACUUAAUCAA
rnacentral:rRNA from 1 species